rnacentral:rRNA from 1 species
CGUAGGAGGCGAGCGUUAUCCGGAUUCACUGGGCGUAAAGCGCGUGCAGGCGGUUUGGUAAGUUGAUCGUGAAAGCUCCCGGCUCAACUGGGAGAGGUCGUUCAAUACUACCGAACUAAAGAGUAGAAGAGGAAGAUGGAAUUCCCGGUGUAGUGGUGAAAUGCGUAGAUAUCGGGAGGAACACCAGUGGCGAAGGCGAUCUUCUGGUCUAUUUCUGACGCUCAGACGCGACAGCUAGGGUAGUAAACGGGAUUAGAGACCCCGGUAAUCCUAGCCGUAAACGAUGUGAACCUGGCGUCGGUGGCUUAAACACCAUCGGUGCCGAAGCAAACGCGAUAAGUUCACCGCCUGGGGACUACGGCCGCAAGGUU